rnacentral:rRNA from 1 species
GGGGAAUAUUGCACAAUGGGCGAAAGCCUGAUGCAGCAACGCCGCGUGAGUGAUGAAGGUCUUCGGAUUGUAAAGCUCUGUCUUUUGGGACGAUAAUGACGGUACCAAAGGAGGAAGCCACGGCUAGCUACGUGCCAGCAGCCGCGGUAAUACGUAGGUGGCGAGCGUUGUCCGGAUUUACUGGGCGUAAAGGGUGCGUAGGCGGAUGUUUAAGUGAGAUGUGAAAUACCCGGGCUUAACUUGGGUGCUGCAUUUCAAACUGGAUAUCUAGAGUGCAGGAGAGGAGAAUGGAAUUCCUAGUGUAGCGGUGAAAUGCGUAGAGAUUAGGAAGAACACCAGUGGCGAAGGCGAUUCUCUGGACUGUAACUGACGCUGAGGCACGAAAGCGUGGGUAGCAAACAGGAUUAGAUACCCUGGUAGUCCACGCCGUAAACGAUGAGUACUAGGUGUAGGAGGUAUCGACCCCUUCUGUGCCGCAGUAAACACAUUAAGUACUCCGCCUGGGAAGUACGAUCGCAGGAUUAAAAC